rnacentral:rRNA from 1 species
AACGAACGCUGGCGGCAGGCUUAACACAUGCAAGUCGAAGGAGAAGCAGGACUUCGGUCCUGUGGACACUGGCGAACGGGUGAGUAACGCGUGGGAACCUGCCCUGGGGUGGGGGACAACCACUGGAAACGGUGGCUAAUACCGCAUACGCACUACGGUGGAAAGUCGGGGGAUCUUCGGACCUCACGCUAUUGGAUGAGCCUAAGUCGGAUUAGCUAGUUGGUGAGGUAAUAGCUCACCAAGGCGACGAUCCGUAGCUGGUCUGAGAGGACGAUCAGCCACACUGGGACUGAGACACGGCCCAGACUCCUACGGGAGGCAGCAGUGGGGAAUAUUGGACAAUGGGGGCAACCCUGAUCCAGCCAUGCCGCGUGAGUGAAGAAGGCCUUAGGGUUGUAAAACUCUUUCAGCAGGGAAGAUAAUGACGGUACCUGCAGAAGAAGCUCCGGCUAACUCCGUG